GCACACUUCAUGGAUCUACAGACACAUUCAUAAGGAAAAAAGUUAAACAAGAGACCAAAGUGUCAAAAUAUUGACCAGGCUACAAAAAGGUGGAAUGACAAGAACUAGACAAGAGCAUGAGGGAAGCUGCCUAACUUGGAUGACAAAUUUAUCUAGAACUGUAGAAGCUACACACACCACCUAAAAAAUACAGAUCAGUUUCACAACUUAGAAAAACAUGGCUCACCCUCUUUAGGUGUGAGGCAUGAUUAUGAAUUGAAGACACUUCCUGCUGCUGAGAACAAAACAAAGCUAACUCUGAAAUCUUCCCAGCGCUCAACAGGAGCACAGCAAGGGCAGUUCCAGGACCCAGCAGGGAGCAGAAUUCACAGCUAUGCUUUCCCAGCUGUCUGCAGGCCUCAGGAGGGAUGAUUAUAAUCCUACAUCCUCCUGAAUCUCAUCCAGCUAGUGCACAAGAGAUGGCAGCCCAGGAGUCCCAGUUAUUUACCUCCAUACAUGAAGACUGUAAUAAGGUGUAAAGUCUAAAUAAGUCCAACUAUUCUUAUAGCACAUUAAACACACCAUAAGUGAAGACAAACCUCUCUUUGGCUCAUAAUAUUUUUCCCAUCAGCUUUUAGAAGUCGCCUGUUGGAAAUCAGCUGAAAAAGAUGGAUUUACAGACUUCUGAGUAAAUAACUGCUGUCCUACCUU